ensembl:snRNA U6 U6 spliceosomal RNA
UACUUAGCACAAAUUGACUUUUAAAAUUGGAACAAUCCAGAGAAGAUUAGGAUGGUUCCUGUGAAAGAAUGACAUGCAAAUAUGUAAAACUUUCCAUAUUUUC